CCUACGGGUGGCAGCAGUGGGGAAUAUUGCACAAUGGAGGGAACUCUGAUGCAGCGACGCCGCGUGAGUGAAGAAGUAAUUCGUUAUGUAAAGCUCUAUCAGCAGGGAAGAAAGUGACGUUACCUGAAAACGAAGCUCCGGCUAAAUACGUGCCAGCAGCCGCGGUGAUACGUAUGGAGGAAGCGUUAUCCGGGUUUACUGGUUGUAAAAGGAGAGUAGGUGGCAGAGCAAGUCCGAAGUGAAAACCCAAAGCACAAAUAUGGGAGUGCUUUAGAAACUGCUCAGCUAGAGUGCAGGAGAGGCAAGUGGAAUUCUUAGUGGAGCGGUAAAAUGCGUAGAUAUUAGGAGGAACACCAGUGGCGAAGGCGGCUUGCUGGACUGUAACUGACACUGAGGCUCGAAAGCGUGGGGAGCAAACAGGAUUAGAGACCCGGGUAGUC
rnacentral:rRNA from 1 species